CCCCAGAUGUUGCUGAACUACAACUCCCAAGAUUCUUUGAAUAGCCAGAGAAUCAUGGGAGUUGUAGUUCAGCAACAUCUGGGG